rnacentral:rRNA from 1 species
GACGUAGGGUGCGAGCGUUGUCCGGAUUUAUUGGGCGUAAAGAGCUCGUAGGCGGUCUGUCGCGUCGGAUGUGAAAAUCCAGGGCUCAACCCUGGACCUGCAUUCGAUACGGGCAGACUAGAGUUCGGUAGGGGAGACUGGAAUUCCUGGUGUAGCGGUGAAAUGCGCAGAUAUCAGGAGGAACACCGGUGGCGAAGGCGGGUCUCUGGGCCGAAACUGACGCCGAGGAGCGAAAGCGUGGGGAGCGAACAGG